rnacentral:ncRNA from 1 species
GUGGUGUAUUCCGAAAAACCUUAAGAGUAGGAA